UACCCACAGGAGAGAAUGAAGGAAGAAUGCUCAUGUUGAUGCAAUUUGACCAAAUCAAAAGGGAGAUUCAACUCAAAUCUUAUGCAUGAACUCAAAUCCAUGUUCAUCUAGACUUGUAAUACAUGAGGAUCAUGUCAAGAUGGGGAAAACAAGGAAGGCUAACGGAAAGGAUAGGAGGAAGCACGUACGAAACGGGCACUCGAGAUUAAUGCAGGUACAUUAUUGAAGGCUCACCAGGGAAUGGAUAUGCGAAUGAUAUGCUUAAAAUUAGAGAGAAAGCUGAAUGGAAAGUAUACAUGUAUGAAUCUUGUUUAUAUGUAUAACGUGUGCUAAUGUUAUAAAUGUAUGUGGUGAGUGCAGGUUGUACGAGAGUACGGACGAUUAUCACAAGGAAUAGAGAUAGAAGACCGAGUCACAAGGUAGAUUGUACGAGAAUGAUCGAUUCUGUACCUUAGGAAAUAGGAAGUUUGCUUUUGUUUAGUAAAAGAGUUAUUUUUAAACGGACUUUCAAGUAAGUCAAGACGUUGUAACGAAAGAAAUCUUAUGGCACGAAUUUCCGCUGC